rnacentral:rRNA from 1 species
AGCGAACGCUGGCGGCAGGCCUAACACAUGCAAGUCGAACGAACUCUUCGGAGUUAGUGGCGGACGGGUGAGUAACACGUAGGAACGUGCCUUUAGGUUCGGAAUAACUCAGGGAAACUUGUGCUAAUACCGAAUGUGCCCUUCGGGGGAAAGAUUUAUCGCCUUUAGAGCGGCCCGCGUCUGAUUAGCUAGUUGGUGAGGUAAAGGCUCACCAAGGCGACGAUCAGUAGCUGGUCUGAGAGGAUGAUCAGCCACAUUGGGACUGAGACACGGCCCAAACUCCUACGGGAGGCAGCAGUGGGGAAUCUUGCGCAAUGGGCGAAAGCCUGACGCAGCCAUGCCGCGUGAAUGAUGAAGGUCUUAGGAUUGUAAAAUUCUUUCACCGGGGACGAUAAUGACGGUACCCGGAGAAGAAGCCCCGGCUAACUUCGUG